rnacentral:lncRNA from 1 species
GCAGAAAUAUUUCUGGAAUAAGCACUCUAACAUCUAUGUGUUUGGAAUUGAAGUGAUGUCACUGAUGAGUAAAAGUCAGGAGAGUUCCUCGGGGAUUUGAUGACUGGGUCUGGUGCUUUGGAUUGCAGGCUGGACUGUGUUCAACGAGUCAUUAAAAAAACAAAAACCAAAAGAAAUUGGGAACUCCUGUCAGUUGAUGUUCCUAUCUUCCUUGUGCACAGAUAGACUUCAAAGACUUUCAUCAUGUUACUUCUGAUCCCAUUUACUAGAAUACACUUGUUAUGAAGGCAUGUAGGAAAGCUGAUUACUCUUACUGAAUAAUCAAAUGUCAAGGAUCCUAGUGUUGGUAUUAGUUUUUAUCCAUGAGGCUCACAACAUUUGACCAGCUAGUCUUAUUUGUAUUAGUCAUGAUUGAACAAGUUUAAUAAAAUUCAGUCAGAGGAUCACUUACUCUUAGAACACACUUGCAAACAGAG